rnacentral:rRNA from 1 species
GAUGAACGCUGGCGGCGUGCCUAAUACAUGCAAGUCGAGCGAAUGGAUUAAGAGCUUGCUCUUAUGAAGUUAGCGGCGGACGGGUGAGUAACACGUGGGUAACCUGCCCAUAAGACUGGGAUAACUCCGGGAAACCGGGGCUAAUACCGGAUAACAUUUUGAAUCGCAUGGUUCGAAAUUGAAAGGAGGCUUCGGCAGUCACUUACGGUAGGACCCGGGUCGCAUUAGCUAGUUGGUGAGGUAACGGCUCACCAAGGCAACGAUGCGUAGCCGACCUGAGAGGGUGAUCGGCCACACUGGGACUGAGACACGGCCCAGACUCCUACGGGAGGCAGCAGUAGGGAAUCUUCCGCAAUGGACGAAAGUCUGACGGAGCAACGCCGCGUGAGUGAUGAAGGCUUUCGGGUCGUAAAACUCUGUUGUUAGGGAAGAACAAGUGCUAGUUGAAUAGGCUGGCACCUUGACGGUACCUAACCAGAAAGCCACGGCUAACUACGUGCCAGCCGCCGCAGUAA